UUCAGACCUCAGAAAAGAAAGUCAGAGAGUGAGAGAGAUCGAGAGACGGAGAGAAAUAGUUAGAUCGAGAAGAGAAGUAGCUGAUGAGAGAGUUAAAUCGAGAACUGAUGACUGAAGAUGAGGCUUUUCUGAAAUUGAUAUUGGUGUUGAGUUUUGAAUAGAGGGAAGAACAUAUGGAGAACAUGGCUUUUUUCUUGGCAUAAUGGGGUUUGAUGCAGUACGCGGUGGUAAUGUUCCGUCCAUCGAUGUUGGCCGCCUCUGCAUGCAGCACGGUGCACCCUGAACAAAACCCCCUCUGGGACAAAAUUCUUGAGAUUCAUACAGGUUACACUGGAUCUCAGUUAAUUGAUUUUGCAAGUUAUUGGUGAGCUUCCAUUCUAAGGUAGUUGAAGAUAAGCUGAGGGUGGUGUUCAACAAAUACUCGACUCCAUCGAUGUAACACGUGCGAGUAAUGUGCGCGUAACGUGAAGGAUACCCGUUGGAUCAAACUACCACGUGGCAAACAUUGGUUUAAUCCAGUUCAAAAGGAUAUAAAUGUAAAUGUUUCCCACGUGAGAGUACACAUGCGUUCGGGGCAUUUUGAGAAGGUGACCCCCCAUUUUGGGGCAUUUUGCCUAGUUGCCCAGAAAACUGCUCCUGACCUCAGUUUAAGGAGGCAAAGGAGGCAAUACUUGCAGGCUCAGCACCAAAGAUCCUCCCAAGUGAGGAACCCAAGCCAUUUACAAUUUCUCUAAGAGCAUCUCCAACAGUAGGUCAAAAAAAAUCCUAUGUGGAUGUCAUUGUUAGACCCCAUUUAUUUAGAUUAUAUCCCUGGAUGUUAGUAAGACCCUUUAUACUAAAACUCUUCUCCGUUAGUUAAGGUUAUACAAUGUAUUUUAGAUUUAGAUAAAUAUUAAAAAAAUAAUAUUUAGUUUGAUUUCAUAUUAAAAAUAAAUAAAAUUGAUGACAUGAAAUUAGUUAAGGGUCAUUCCGAAGAUGUAGUUAAGACUUUCUUUAACACCUUCAUAUUUAGUAUUUGAUCCCUCCUAGUUUGUAGGAUCCUAUUAUUGGAGAUACUUUUAUACUAAAUGGGGGUCUAAAAUUCUAUGUGUUAUUGAAAAAAUUAUUUUCAUCCUAUGUUGGGAGAUGCUCUAACUGAGUAGUAGGUUUGCAAGCCAAGCUUUAAUGCUUAAAUAUUGCAACCAAUUUCAUCUACUUCCCACAGCAUUGAUAAUACGAUUGGACCUAUUCAUCUA